UCUGCCUUAUAGGCCAGCGGUCUCCCUAGAGUGCCCAACUUAAUGAUGGCAACUAGGGACGAGGGUUGCGCUCGUUGCGGGACUUAACCCAACAUCUCACAACACGAGCUGACGACAGCCAUGCAGCACCUGUCACCGCGUCUCCGAAGAGAACCCCUGCUUUCACAGGGUAGCGCGGGAUGUCAAACCUAGGUAAGGUUUUUCGCGUAGCAUCGAAUUAAACCACAUGCUCCACCGCUUGUGCGGGCCCCCGUCAAUUCCUUUGAGUUUUAAUCUUGCGACCGUAAUUCCCAGGCGGAAUACUUAAUGCGUUAGCUGCGUCACCGAGACAAUUAGGUAUCCCGACGACUAGUAUUCAUCGUUUAGGGCGUGGACUAC
rnacentral:misc_RNA from 1 species